rnacentral:rRNA from 1 species
GGCUCAGAUUGAACGCUGGCGGCAGGCCUAACACAUNAAGUCGAGCGGUAGCACAGAGAGCUUGCUCUCGGGUGACGAGCGGCGGACGGGUGAGUAAUGUCUGGGAAACUGCNUGAUGGAGGGGGAUAACUACUGGAAACGGUAGCUAAUACCGCAUAACGUCGCAAGACCAAAGUGGGGGACCUUCGGGCCUCAUGCCAUCAGAUGUGCCCAGAUGGGAUUAGCUAGUAGGUGGGGUAAUGGCUCACCUAGGCGACGAUCCCUAGCUGGUCUGAGAGGAUGACCAGCCACACUGGAACUGAGACACGGUCCAGACUCCUACGGGAGGCAGCAGUGGGGAAUAUUGCACAAUGGGCGCAAGCCUGAUGCAGCCAUGCCGCGUGUAUGAAGAAGGCCUUCGGGUUGUAAAGUACUUUCAGCGAGGAGGAAGGCGUUAAGGUUAAUAACCUUNGCGAUUGACGUUACUCGCAGAAGAAGCACCGGCUAACUCCGUGCCAGCAGCCGCGGUAAUACGGAGGGUGCAAGCGUUAAUCGGAAUUACUGGGCGUAAAGCGCACGCAGGCGGUUUGUUAAGUCAGAUGUGAAAUCCCCGGGCUCAACCUGGGAACUGCAUUUGAAACUGGCAAGCUUGAGUCUUGUAGAGGGGGGUAGAAUUCCAGGUGUAGCGGUGAAAUGCGUAGAGAUCUGGAGGAAUACCGGUGGCGAAGGCGGCCCCCUGGACAAAGACUGACGCUCAGGUGCGAAAGC